CAUGCUAGUCGCACGAGUUCAGACUCGUGGCGAAUAGCUCAGUAACACGUGGCCAAACUACCCUUCGGAGCACGAUACCCUCGGGAAACUGAGGUUAAUAGUGCAUACCACAAUCCAGCUGGAAUGAGGAUUGUGCCAAACGCUCCGGCGCCGAAGGAUGUGGCUGCGGCCGAUUAGGUAGACGGUGGGGUAACGGCCCACCGUGCCAAUAAUCGGUACGGGUCAUGAGAGUGAGAACCCGGAGACGGAAUCUGAGACAAGAUUCCGGGCCCUACGGGGCGCAGCAGGCGCGAAACCUUUACACUGCACGCCAGUGCGAUAAGGGAAUCCCAAGUGCGCAGGCAUAGAGCCUGCGCUUUUGUACACCGUAGGGAGGUGUACGAAUAAGGGCUGGGCAAGACCGGUGCCAGCCGCCGCGGUAAUACCGGCAGCCCAAGUGAUGGCCGAUUUUAUUGGGCCUAAAGCGUCCGUAGCUGGCCGCACAAGUCCAUCGGAAAAUCCACCCGCCCAACGGGUGGGCGUCCGGUGGAAACUGUGUGGCUUGGGACCGGAAGGCGCGACGGGUACGUCCGGGGUAGGAGUGAAAUCCUGUAAUCCUGGACGGACCGCCGAUGGCGAAAGCACGUCGCGAGGACGGAUCCGACAGUGAGGGACGAAAGCCAGGGUCUCGAACCGGAUUAGAUACCCGGGUAGUCCUGGCCGUAAACAAUGUCUGUUAGGUGUGGCUCCCACUACGAGUGGGUGCUGUGCCGCAGGGAAGCCGCUAAACAGACCGCCUGGGAAGUACGUCCGCA
rnacentral:rRNA from 1 species